CGUCUAUAUACGUAUAGCAUAUCAAUAAGCGGAGGAAAAGAAACUAACUAGGAUUCCCUUAGUAACGGCGAGUGAAGCGGGAAGAGCUCAAAUUUGAAAUCUUCAAGGUUCUACCUUGACGAAUUGUAGUUUAAAGAAGUGUUUUCUGUUGGAAUUUUGGUAAAAGUUCUUUGGAAAUAGGACAUCAUAGAGGGUGAGAAUCCCGUAUUUGACCAUUAUUUCCAACUUUGUGAUACACUUUCGAAGAGUCGGAUUGUUUGGGAAUGCAGUCCAAAAUGGGUGGUAAAUUUCAUCUAAAGCUAAAUACUGGCGAGAGACCGAUAGCGAACAAGUACCGUGAGGGAAAGAUGAAAAGAACUUUGAAAAGAGAGUUAAACAGUACGUGAAAUUGUCAAAAGGGAAGCGUUUGACACCAGUGUUGUUUUCUCGAAAAUCAAUUAAAAAUGGUGGGAUUCUGUGUUGUAUUGACUUUAUCAGCUUUCUGCACUUUUUUCCUAUCUUUUUUAAUGCACUUUUCGUUUACCAAGUCAACAUCAAUUUCUUUUGUUGUAAAAGAGUCAUUGGAAGGUGGCUUUCUUUUCGGAGAAAGUGUUUAUAGCCUUUGCCUCUGCAGUCGGAGAGAUUGAGGUCUGCAGCGUAGAUCCUUCGGGGUUAGAUAGCAUUUGUGCUAAGUUAUAGCCUUUCAUAGACAACUUGUUGACUAUGAUCAGUCAUGUAGCUUACUCGCUUAUGCUAUUUUACCUACGCUUAGGAUGUUGACGAUCAGCUGAGCGCG
rnacentral:rRNA from 1 species